UCCUGUAAUGUAAUGUACUACUGGGUGUAUAUAGUCUUUGCUGGGUAUUCUGUGGUGUACUAUUUAGAACAUAAUAGUGCAGUGUUUUGUUACUAGCCUUCAUCAAGAAGACACAAAAAAGAGAUAAUGGAAGAUAUGGUUGAUUUUUGUAAUUAUUGUUGGGAUACUAUAAACGAAAACAUUGACAAUAAGAUUUUGUUUUGUCAAGGAUGUCAACAAUGGUACCACGGAUGUUGUCUGAAUAUUUCCUAUAGGACGUAUAAUAAGAUUAAAAAUUUAAAUACUUGGAGAUGCCCACAAUGUAAAGAAAUACCUGAUGGGAAUAGCAACCAAAGAAAAGGAUAUGGAUGGUAUUGCCUUUUUACUUUAUUUGGUCUUGUAUUUUUAACUAGCCGAAAAUAUAUUUUUAACUGAAACAA